GGCGAAUUCUUUUGUGGUGCGCUCUGCUGU
rnacentral:piRNA from 1 species